GUCCGUGUGGCGGAAUGGCAGACGCAGCGGUCUCAGACACCGUGCCCGGAUGGGCGUGAGGGUUCGACUCCCUCCAUGGACA
rnacentral:tRNA from 2 species